AUUGUACUCUAUUCAUUUUUGUCAGAGCCUUCCUUUAACAGAAAGGAAAGAGGGUGGUGAUUAUCAACACACUCAACCAUUGAUCUACAGACACAUGGCUAAGUGUUAGCACAGUAAUUAUUCGAUCUUAUAGUAUAUAGGUAUUCAGAGUGAAAAAGUUAGGAACAGAAAAAUAAAAUUUAUACACUCUUGGUAUUUCAGGUAAUUUUAUCCUAUUACAAUUCCCAAAGGUCAAAUGUAGCUUUCCUCUGGGAGAGAUGAAACUAGAUAACUCCUUUUUAGAGGAAAUUGAUUAUCACCUUGGGUAUAGUCUAACAAAGCAGAAUUCUGUGUACUGUGGGCAUCCAAUGAGUCCCAAAUUAAUCAAACUAAUACCAAAGUUGCCUACUGAAGAAGAGAGACUGCAGAGGGUGAAAUUCUAAAUCAUCUCUUUGUCAGUUAGAGAGAACAGGCAAGUUGAGCAGAGAAGUUAUUCUGUGGAGAUAUGGGAUGCUCAAUUUUCUCAAUUCUCUAGCCCAGGGUACAAAAUACUCUUGUGUUCCAGGAAAACUGGAACAUCUAGAAGUAGAUCUAGUUGUCUCCACAUGUCUCCAUUCAUUCAUUUGCUCAUUCAUUCAUGUCGGUUUAACCAAUAAUUAUUGAGUUUACCUUCUGAGACUAUAGUAGGUAAUAAAACAGAAAUGAAUUCUAGGCAUCAUUUAAGUACAAUCUACUAAGGAAAAACGAAACAAAACCUGAGACAAAUCUAUAGUAGUUCAGAUUAUAAAUGUUGUAGAAAAAAUGAAAGCAGCAUAAGGGGAAAGAAAGAAUAGGUGAGACAAGUACAUUAUAAACAGAAUGAGUAGAGAAGAGACUUGAAAGAGGUAAGAAAACCAGGUAUUUGAUAUCAA
rnacentral:lncRNA from 10 species